AGUUUUCCGCCGUUAGAUCUACCUCUUUGACCAUUUUCACUAUCAUCCUAAUCGCAUAUUUCUUCAUCCAAGGACCGAAAACCUAAUAGCACCAAUGACUUAGUAUUAUUAAUAGUAUAAUAGCCUAGUUCUAUAUAUAUAGAGAGUUCGGCUACUAUGCUAGCGAUAGUACCAAGCACUUUUUUCAUAUACUUUACAAAAGUAUGAAAUUUGAUUUCUAGAUGCUUCAAGUAGUAUAGAUCAUGUUCAACGGUGUCGAUCGUCGAUUUGGAGGCUCGAUCAUCGAAAACAAAUCGGUCGCAAUGGAAUCCGUUUGCCAUCGAUAGUAUUCCAGCUCAAUUCUCUCUCUCUAUAUAUAUACAUACAUAUAUAAAGAUUUGGUUGACGGCUUCUCUAGUUGUCAAAGUUAAAUUAAUUAGUGUUGUAUUAUAGCUCGCUCUUCUUGUAUGAUCAAAUUGUAUGGCAGCUUAUUUACAAAUAAUUGCUAUUAGAGUUGCUUUCCUUUUCGUUCUUUUUUUUUUGUUGUUGUUGAAAUUCUUAGAAUGAGCUUAGAAUGAGCUAGCGAUUUUGGAGUUCAUACAUAUCUAUGUGGAGACCAUGGAUCGACAUUACAGAAAUGUGAUGCAUUUCAUGCUGGAGGAGAUGGUGAUGAAUGGCUGCAUCUUCGAAACAAUGAUAUUGGAGGAUCACCAGGAGGUAGAUAUUUAGGCCAGUACAGAGGCCACCCCUCGCGUAUCAGCCACGUGGUUACGUCGAGAGAGUAUUGAGAUCACAUUAUACGAUUAGACGUGUCCUGUCAGAUAUUCCAGGAGGUGGAGUAUUAGAUGCCCUAUCACACGUUGCCGAUCGGAUGGAAGCAGUUUUGGAGACUUUAUCUACGCUUCCACACACUGUACAUCCACGACCGGCAGACUAUGAUGGACCAUCGACGUCGGGACAUGUACCAGUAUAUAGUCCACCGAGGCAUCAUCACCGAUAGAGGAGCCACCUUAUGUUAUGGACACGGUAUCAACACCAGUAUCAGAGGAUCCACGAUCCACCUCGGCCAGUUGAUAUUGUUUAUCAUAAGCGCCGACGACAGAUGCACUCUCUCCAUACAGAUCAACCCUCCUCUUCAGCUUCUUCUGCUAUAAUUGAGCACGAGAUCGGACGAGUGAUUGAGACGCAGGACACUCAGCAGGUUAUUGAGGGUAGUCGAAGGUGUUAGAGCCUUUUGAUGAGCAUGAUGUUGAUCGUGAUCACGGACGUGGUAGACGACGUGGUUGAUGAGCAUGAUGUUGAUCGUGAUCACGGACAUGAUAUUAUAUUUCUAUAUUAUUAAAAAACAUGUUUUAAUUUUUGAUAUUCUGUUGUGAUGAUCUGGUAUUGAUACUUUAUUGAUAUUCUGUUGGAUUUGUUGUUGUAUUGUUAAUGUUGAAUUACUUGUAUUGUUGUAUUGAA